UACGAAGGGGGCUAGCGUUGUUCGGAAUUACUGGGCGUAAAGCGCACGUAGGCGGACAUUUAAGUCAGGGGUGAAAUCCCAGAGCUCAACUCUGGAACUGCCUUUGAUACUGGGUGUCUUGAGUAUGGAAGAGGUGAGUGGAAUUCCGAGUGUAGAGGUGAAAUUCGUAGAUAUUCGGAGGAACACCAGUGGCGAAGGCGG
rnacentral:rRNA from 1 species